rnacentral:rRNA from 1 species
GGCUCACCUAGGCGACGAUCCCUAGCUGGUCUGAGAGGAUGACCAGCCACACUGGAACUGAGACACGGUCCAGACUCCUACGGGAGGCAGCAGUGGGGAAUAUUGCACAAUGGGCGCAAGCCUGAUGCAGCCAUGCCGCGUGUGUGAAGAAGGCCUUCGGGUUGUAAAGCACUUUCAGCGGGGAGGAAGGCGGUGAGGUUAAUAACCUCAUCGAUUGACGUUACCCGCAGAAGAAGCACCGGCUAACUCCGUGCCAGCAGCCGCGGUAAUACGGAGGGUGCAAGCGUUAAUCGGAAUUACUGGGCGUAAAGCGCACGCAGGCGGUCUGUCAAGUCGGAUGUGAAAUCCCCGGGCUCAACCUGGGAACUGCAUUCGAAACUGGCAGGCUAGAGUCUUGUAGAGGGGGGUAGAAUUCCAGGUGUAGCGGUGAAAUGCGUAGAGAUCUGGAGGAAUACCGGUGGCGAAGGCGGCCCCCUGGACAAAGACUGACGCUCAGGUGCGAAAGCGUGGGGAGCAAACAGGAUUAGAUACCCUGGUAGUCCACGCCGUAAACGAUGUCGAUUUGGAGGUUGUGCCCUUGAGGCGUGGCUUCCGGAGCUAACGCGUUAAAUCGACCGCCUGGGGAGUACGGCCGCAAGGUUAAAACUCAAAUGAAUUGACGGGGGCCCGCACAAGCGGUGGAGCAUGUGGUUUAAUUCGAUGCAACGCGAAGAACCUUACCUGGUCUUGACAUCCACAGAACUUUCCAGAGAUGGAUUGGUGCCUUCGGGAACUGUGAGACAGGUGCUGCAUGGCUGUCGUCAGCUCGUGUUGUGAAAUGUUGGGUUAAGUCCCGCAACGAGCGCAACCCUUAUCCUUUGUUGCCAGCGGUCCGGCCGGGAACUCAAAGGAGACUGCCAGUGAUAAACUGGAGGAAGGUGGGGAUGACGUCAAGUCAUCAUGGCCCUUACGACCAGGGCUACACACGUGCUACAAUGGCAUAUACAAAGAGAAGCGACCUCGCGAGAGCAAGCGGACCUCAUAAAGUAUGUCGUAGUCCGGAUUGGAGUCUGCAACUCGACUCCAUGAAGUCGGAAUCGCUAGUAAUCGUAGAUCAGAAUGCUACGGUGAAUACGUUCCCGGGCCUUGUACACACCGCCCGUCACACCAUGGGAGUGGGUUGCAAAAGAAGUAGGUAGCUUAACCUUCGGGAGGGCGCUUACCACUUUGUGAUUCAUGACUGGGGUGAAGUCGUAACAAGGUAACCGUAGGGGAACCUGCGGUUGGAUCACCU